UGGUCAUGUAAAAAUAGAUAUUACUUUUGUGAUGUAGAAAAUUUUAAGAUUGAUGUCAACAAACCUAAAAAAUUAAACAAUCAUGUCAAAUUAGUGUGCGUGUGUGUGUGUGUGUGUGUGUGUGUGUGUACACAGAUUGCAAAAUCCAU